UUUUAUGUGAAUAUAGGUUUAGAAGUUCGAUUACCCUUUGCAGGUUAGUGGCAACUUCGUUGAAUGACUGUUUGUGCCGUGAAAGAGAAGAGGCAAUGACUCGCCUCAGCUCCGAACAAGUCUUGAAGGACAACAAUGUCUCCGACCCAACUUCCGUCACAACUCUGCAUCUCACUUACAAAGCUCUUUCCGAUAUAACAUGCUUGGCCAACUUCAUAAACUUGGAAAAGCUUGACCUUAAGUUCAACAACCUCACUUCACUUGAGGGGUUGAGAUCAUGUGCUAAUUUGAAGUGGCUAUCCGUUGUAGAAAACAAAUUAGAAAGCUUGGAAGGGAUUCAAGGACUAACUAAGCUCACUGUGCUAAAUGCAGGGAAAAAUAAGCUUAAAUCAAUUGAUCAGAUCGCUUCAGUUGUUAGUCUCCGAGCUCUUAUUUUGAAUGAAAAUAACAUUUCCUCCAUUUGCAAAUUGGAUCAGUUGAAAGAAUUGAACACUCUUGUUCUAUCAAAAAAUCCUAUCCGUAAUAUUGGUGAUGCUCUGCUGAAGGUGAAAUCUAUCACGAAGCUUUCCCUCUCUCAUUGCGAGCUUCAGGGUAUUGACACCUCACUCAAGUCUUGUGUUGAGUUGAGCGAGCUCCGCCUUGCUCACAAUGAGAUCAAGUCUCUUCCGGAUGAGUUAAAGCUCAAUUCAAAGCUCCGGAAUUUAGAUGUGGGGAAUAAUGUGAUCACGAGGUGGUCAGAAGUAAAGGUGGUCAAAUUGCUCACAAAUUUGAGAAAUCUUAAUCUUCAAGGAAAUCCUGUUGCCACAGUUGAUAAAAUUACGAGAAAGAUUAAGAAGGCACUGCCAAAACUACAGAUAUUCAAUGCUAGACCAGUAGAUAAAGAUACUGAGAAUAAGCAAGGUGGCGUAGUUGAUGGAACUCCUGAUUUUUCAGUAGACCAGACAGGUCAAAAUUUGAAAGACAGCAGCGAAGAAAAGAGUGCAAGAUUUCAUACAAAAGAUAAAAAGAAGUAUGAUCACCUUGAAGCCACAGAUGAUCUUGACUCGGAGAGAAAAUCAAGUAAGAAAAGGAAGAAAACUGAUGAUGUAUCCAAGAAGGAAGACAUGGUGGUGAUUGCUGAGGGAAGUAAAGCUCGGAAAAAGGAUAAGGCAGAUAGAAAGAAAGACAAUCUUAUAGUUACUGUUGAUCCUGACAUGGAGAACAAAUCAACCAAGAAAAAGGUGAAAAAGGAUGACAAGCCCUUGGACAACAAGGGUUUUGCUUCUGAGGAGAAUGUUUCCAAGGUUGGAAAGAAGCUGAAGAAGAAACGUAAGAAUGAGGAACAAAGUGAACUUGACAUAAUUGACGAUGCAGAGGCUUCAUUUGCAGAGCUUUUUAAAAUCAAUGAUGUUCAAAAUCAGAAUCAUGGUGAUGAAAUGAAAACACAGGAGAAAGUGUCUAAGGAUGUGAAAUUUGCAGGAAUCACAGUAACUUCAUUUACCAAACCUAAGAAUGCUAAAAUGCAGAAUAUGGAGUCUCUUUCAUUUUCAUUUCCAGUAGUAGAUUUUGGAAAUGGAGGGCCAUCAACAUGGGGUGAUGAGUGAUGAUAACAUGUGGAAAUAUGUUGAUGCAUGAAAACUUGUCCUCAAGAAGUUGAAGACUAUUUUUUAGUUUGACUCUGCUGUCAGAUUUCUCAUUGCAUCUCAGCUAUUUUCUGCUUCUGAAAUCCAGGAGAAAACUGGCAAAGCGUGCCCCUAUAGUCCGAUAUAAGUGGGCCUGUCCUUGGUGGGCUGGUGGGCUGGUGGGCUAGUGAGCUGGUGGGCUGGUCCACCCAUCAACAAUAUCAAUGAUUGGUUUUCUAAUAAAAGAAUUUAUUAGCAUUCCAUUUAUAUUGAUUUGAUUAUAAUUUAUUUAUAAGUAAAUACUAGUUAUUAAUUUUUAUAAAUUAGACAGUGACAAAUAUUAUAUUAGAAAUUGACUGUCCAAGUUAUUAUA